CAGAGUCUGCCUUUUACUCUGUUUUGCUCUGGUUUUUUUAGCAGCUUCAGCCUCUUCUGCAAGAUUAAAAAAUGCACAUGCAUAUUCAGAGUGGUCCCAUGAAUGUCCAGUCAAAAAGGGUAAUGCGGCUAUAGUUACUUUGAAAAAUCUAUGACCUAUAAAGUUUUCCAAAAUUUCUAAAUUAUCUUUCAAUAUAUGUCCAAAUGGAUGCAUGUGAAAACUACCAAUAAAGUACACACUAGUCUCUUCUUUUUUUCUUUUUUUUUUUGUCAAAGGUCGGAAGGAGAGGGGGAUUUAUU
rnacentral:lncRNA from 1 species